rnacentral:rRNA from 1 species
CCCUUAGAUGUCCUGGGCCGCACGCGCGUUACACUGAUGCAUUCAACGAGCUUAUAACCUUGGCCGAGAGGCCUGGGCAAUCUUGUUAACGUGCAUCGUGAUAGGGAUAGAUUAUUGAAAUUAUUAAUCUUGAACGAGGAAUUCCUAGUAAACGCAGAUCAUCAAUCUGCAUUGAUUACGUCCCUGCCCUUUGUACACACCGCCCGUCGCACCUACCGAUUGGAUGGUCCGGUGAAGCCUCGGGAUUGUGGUUCUUGCCGCUUUAUUGUGGCGUGACCGCUAGAACUUGUCUAAACCUUAUCAUCUAGAGGAAGGUGAAGUCGUAACA